rnacentral:rRNA from 1 species
AUUGAACGCUGGCGGCAUGCCUUACACAUGCAAGUCGAACGGUAACAGGUCUUCGGAUGCUGACGAGUGGCGAACGGGUGAGUAAUACAUCGGAACGUGCCCGAUCGUGGGGGAUAACGAGGCGAAAGCUUUGCUAAUACCGCAUACGAUCUACGGAUGAAAGCGGGGGAUCUUCGGACCUCGCGCGGCCGGAGCGGCCGAUGGCAGAUUAGGUAGUUGGUGGGAUAAAAGCUUACCAAGCCGACGAUCUGUAGCUGGUCUGAGAGGAUGAUCAGCCACACUGGGACUGAGACACGGCCCAGACUCCUACGGGAGGCAGCAGUGGGGAAUUUUGGACAAUGGGCGAAAGCCUGAUCCAGCCAUGCCGCGUGCAGGAUGAAGGUCUUCGGGUUGUAAACUGCUUUUGUACGGAACGAAAAGCCUCUUUCUAAUAAAGAGGGGUCAUGACGGUACCGUAAGAAUAAGCACCGGCUAACUACGUG